UAGGGAAUCUUCCGCAAUGGGCGAAAGCUUGACGGAGCAACGCCGCGUGAGUGAUUAAGGUCUUCGGAUCGUAAAACUCUGUUAUUAGGGAAGAACAAAUGUGUAAGUAACUAUGCACGUCUUGACGGUACCUAAUCAGAAAGCCACGGCUAACUACGUGCCAGCAGCCGCGGUAAUACGUAGGUGGCAAGCGUUAUCCGGAAUUAUUGGGCGUAAAGCGCGCGUAGGCGGUUUUUUAAGUCUGAUGUGAAAGCCCACGGCUCAACCGUGGAGGGUCAUUGGAAACUGGAAAACUUGAGUGCAGAAGAGGAAAGUGGAAUUCCAUGUGUAGCGGUGAAAUGCGCAGAGAUAUGGAGGAACACCAGUGGCGAAGGCGACUUUCUGGUCUGUAACUGACGCUGAUGUGCGAAAGCGUGGGGAUCAAACAGG
rnacentral:rRNA from 1 species